UGCCUUGCAUAUAGAUACGAAUAAAAAAAAGUGGGCUUGAUUGUGGGGAAAACUCCACAGUUAAGCGUGCUUGAGCCAGAGGCAUAUUGGGAUGGGUGACCACUUGGGAAGUCCUGGUUAUCAGGUGC
rfam:Picea glauca, whole genome shotgun sequence.